CAGAAGUCACACCCCCAGGGAGCAGCCUCAGCCAACAGCACCUUGGCUGUAAAUGCCCCAGCUCCCUCGCCCUCAGGUAAGCAUUGCUGAGGCACACGUUCCAUACUCUUUUCCACAGUUCCUCCGUGGGACUGAGCACCACCCAGCCACCCACAGGAGCAGCUAACCUGAUAACCACCAGCCUCACCCUCCCUGCCUUACUUCCCCGCUCCCCUUUACCACAUGCUGACCUCCCAGAUGCAUUUCUUGCUUUCCGGUCUCUGUCUCAGGAUUGGCUCCUGGAUGAACACAAACUAACACUAUGUUCACAAAUAUAUUUGGGAAAUGCUGGAUGAAUAAUUAUACACAUCAGACAGAUUACUAGAAAUUCUCACCAAAGGGAUGCACAUGUUACCUCUGCAUGGUGAGAUCUCAGGUGCUUUUUACCCCACAUAGCUAUCCUUUGGCAUUUUUAUAAUUAGCAAGUGCUCACUCUUCCACUGUCAGUACAUUCUCAUUCUUCUUGGGCGCUGGACAAGAAUUCAACCGGUGUGUAAGCCAGACUCGGCCCGGGCAGUCUCAAACUCCUGACUCCUUAUAUAAUUUCUACAAAAAUUAUAAAGCUAUUUCCCACUCCCCACCCCACAUUCAUGUAACCUGAAGCAUGAGUAAACCAAGAAUGAGGUAGGCCUCUGUCUUCUAAGCAACAUCAGAACUCUAAGAACAUGAGGGACUCUUAGAAAACUCUCUGGAGCUAACCACAGCUGGGUCACUGCUCAUGUACUGAAGACCAGCCAGAGGGUUCCCCUGAAAAGGAGGGAAACUGAGCAAACAUUCUCCAGUUCUCUUAGUGUGCACAUGUUUCAGGAGGUGUGAACCCCACAUGUAGCUUGUGUAGGCAAGAAGACAAAUAGUGCUACUGUCUGGUCAAGGAUUUGUUUGAAGAGCCAUGAUUAUGCCCAUAUGGUAAGCCACCAGUGCUCCCCAUCCCUGUAAGACACUUCUUUCUCAUUAUUUUCUCCUCUGAUGGUGUGCCAGGAUGCUGGCCAAGAGAAGCCAAGUGGAAAGAAGGCUGUUCAGUGACAAGGAACCUAAGACUUAGUGCCAAGGACUGAAACCAAGUAAACUUGUAAUUUUCCAUGAUGGAAACAUCUACACUUUCUCAUUAGUGGCCUCUACAGCAGUUGCCCCAAAGAAGCGUCUCAUUGUUUUUUUACUACAUUUAUGUGAAGCAUACAGGCAAACUCAGAAAGACUGUGAUAAGGCUCGCCAGAGAUGCCUGCACAGGUGCUGGGGGAAAAGCAGGACCAUCCUGAAGGGAGAUGGUGUCUGUGGACAAAGAACUCUGCAGUGGUUCUUAUUUGCAUGAUUUCUGCUGGUGGAGGCUGUAAAUGUGAGCUCAAACUCCCACAUAAGUGAGUUUUCAUUGUAAUCCAGAAUGUUUUUAAAUCACCCUACUUCUAUUGAACUUGCACUAUCAUCUGUUAACCUCUACUGUAUUUAUUAAAUAAACCUGAAUAGGUAAAUCAC
rnacentral:lncRNA from 1 species